rnacentral:lncRNA from 1 species
GGAUGUGCAGAUGGAGGCCGGCGGAGACGCUGCUGCCCCGGCUCCCGGGGGCGCGCAGGACUUGGAGGACACGCAGGACUUGGAGGGCACGCAGUUCCCAGGCGAGGAGGCUGGAGAUCGUGGAGUUCGGUCGGGCCCGCCGGAUCCCGGAGACGCGGACCCGGAGGAAACAGGAUCUGAAGCCAAGGAUGAGCCUCCCAGCCGCCUGUCACCGCUGCCCCAGGCAGAGGUCCCCUCAAGCACCCGUGAACACUGGAGUUCUGCAGCCUCAGACAGUAGUCCCAUUCAUGGUCCAGAGAGUGGCUCUGGGGGCCAGGCCGGGGACCCCAGUGACGAGGACUGGCGCAACCAGAGGAAGCACGUGUUCGUGCUGAGCAAGGCUGGCAAGCCCACUGCAGUGGAUUGACAACUGGUGGUCAACUUAUAACCCCCAGCUGAACUGAGUAAGCGUGGUAUUGGGUGUGGGAGAUCUAAUUUUGCAAGGUUUGUUAAGAAAAACCGCAGUCCUCAAAUUUCUCUCUCCUUCCCUGGAAGAGGGUUUUGCAGAGAAUCACAGCCUUGUGUUACUGCUCCUUGACCUCUUGGUUUGGGGCAUUGUUUAUCUACCUCCAGCCCCAAAAGAUAAGAAUUUAGCUUUGUUUCCUCCCUGCCCCGACUACACCCUGUCCCAACCCACUCUGUCCCACACCUCAGACAGUCCACAUUUAUGUUAUGAGAUGUACACUUCAUUGAGCUUCAGAGUUUAGUCAUGUUGUGACCAUGAUUGAUUUUUCUGGCUAAACUCUCUUGGUUUUAGUAACAGUGGUUGCCGGAUGUGGAGGCACAUCCCUAUAAUCCUAACACUUGGGAAGCUGAGGCAGGGGGAUCAAAGAGCUGCAGGAAGUAGAAGCUCAGAACUCUCCCUCCCAAGGCCACUCCAUGCCUUUGAGGCUACCGGUUCAAAGGCAGCCAUUCAGCGUGGCAGGCAGGGAGCGACGUCAUGGGAAGAUGAGCACGUUAGGAGGCCUGGUGAGUUACAUGCCCUGGGAAGAGAUUUAGAAAAUUUGCAAAGAAUUUGGGGCUAAGGUAUCAUAAGUAAAUGGAGAGGAAAUGACUCAUGAAUAAACCAAUAGUUAGUUCGUUAUUUAUAUUUUUCGUUUUUUUGAGACAGUGUCUUGCUGAGUAGUGCAGGUUGGCCUUGAACACCCCCACCUGGGGACUGUUUCCAGCAGCAUAAGAGGCAGACCUAGAGAUGAAGAAUAAGGGUUUCGGGAACUAAAAAGGCUGUUGGGAGCAGAGAAAGGCUGUUGGAGCUGGUGGAAGCUGUAAGGAGCUGUUGGUUGUUUUGGAGGAGCUCGUCAUGCUGGCUUUCCUGAUGAACUGGGCUGUUUUCAUCGUCCGAAGAGCUUAGGACUUUGUUGGCACUAAGAAUGGCUUUGGUUCACUUUGGGGGAGCUCUCUGGUCCUCACUCUGAGCAUCGCUUCCUGGCUUUGGAGGGGAAGAUGGUGCACUGCCAGUCUCUGGGAGAAGCUUGCUGCGUUGGCUUCCCUGAGGAGAACUGGGCCAUUUUGAUCAUCAGAGGAGCUCGGGACCUCACUGUUGCUGAGGAUGGCUAUGGUAUCUUCCAGGGCAGCUCUGGUUCUUCUGAGCGUCGCUUCCUGGCUCCCGUGCAGAUCCCUCAGCCUGCUAGCACAGAUCCUUCAUCCCACUGGCACAGACUUCCUAGAUUCCACCACUGACCUUUGCGCCUUCGCAGCAGAUCUGUGCAACAUCCCUGCAUGAGAUAUUGUAAUGGGCUUUGAACCUCUAGGUGGACUUGUGGGCGGCAUUGUUAUGAGCUCUAGGUCUUAAAGUGGACUCAUGCAGGACAUUAUCACGGGAUCCAGGCCCUCAGCUGCAUUCUUGGGCUAUAAUGUGUGGACAGAUUUCCUCCACUCUUUUGUACAUCAUUCUUGGAGUGACUGUUAGAAAUAAUCUUAUAAAAUAUGUGUCCUGUAUUGUUUUUCUUGCAAAAUGUCCUCCAAACCAACACACCCAUUUACUCAUGGUAUGGUAGCGUGAAGUCGCUGUCAGCUACCUAGGGUGUGAUGACAGCCCGUGUGUCCUUCUUGGAGAGCGCAGGGAAUAACAUCUGUGCCAUCUAUGCUGGUGAGCAAAGGAGUGGGAACCCAUGACAGCUAUUUCAUGAAGGAUGAAUAGGAAGCCAAAAGGGGAGAGAAGUGGGAGAACACACCAAUCAGAAUGAUGUCCACAAAAGCAUGAGCAUGUGAAUGCACCCCAACUCGUUCAGAAGGCUGGGCCUGAGGUGAGGAAUGGCAGGAGAUGAAGGUAAAAAUUGUCACAUGUGGGCCAGAUCACAUUCUGUCAUCCAGAAUCUCAAGGGAUCAUUGCUCUCACCCAUGUUACGUGUGGAU